rnacentral:rRNA from 1 species
GAUGAACGCUGGCGGCGUGCGUAACACAUGCAAGUUGAACGACGGUGUCAUGAAGUAGUAACACGGAAUGGCAUACGGAGUAGCGGACGGGUGAGUACAACAUGAGAAGCUGUCCUUCAGUGGGGGACAACGUCUGGAAGCGGACGCUAAUCCCCAUAGGCCGAGAGGUUAAAGCAGAGAUGCGCUGGAGGAGGUGCUCGUGCCCUAUCAGCUAGUUGGUGAGGUAAUGGCUCACCAAGGCGACGACGGGUAGCCGGCCUGAGAGGGUGAACGGCCACACUGGAACUGAGAUACGGUCCAGACUCCUACGGGAGGCAGCAGUGGGGAAUAUUGGGCAAUGGGAGGAAUCCUGACCCAGCGACGCCGCGUGAACGAUGAAGGCCUUAGGGUUGUAAGUUCUUUUAUGUGGGAAGAAGGAAGUGACGGUACCACAUGAAUAAGCCCCGGCUAACUACGUGCCAGCAGCCGCGGUAAUACGUAGGGGGCGAGCGUUGUCCGGAAUUACUGGGCGUAAAGGGCACGCAGGCUGUGAUUCAAGUCAGCUGUAAAAGGAUGCGGCUUAACCGUGUUUAGCAGUUGAAACUGGAUGACUGGAGUGCUGGAGAGGCAAGUGGAAUUCCCAGUGUAGCGGUGAAAUGCGUAGAUAUUGGGAAGAACAUCGGUGGCGAAGGCGACUUGCUGGCCAGUAACUGACGCUGAGGUGCGAAAGCCAGGGUAGCAAACGGGAUUAGAUACCCCGGUAGUCCUGGCUGUAAACGAUGAAUGCUAGGUGUGCGAGCAGAGAUGUUGGUGUGCCGCAGUUAACGCGAUAAGCAUUCCGCCUGGGGAGUACGGUCGCAAGAUUGAAACUCAAAGGAAUUGACGGGGGCCCGCACAAGCGGUGGAGCACGUGGUUUAAUUCGAUGCAAACCGAGGAACCUUACCUGGGUUUGACAUGUAUGUGGUAGGAGUCUGAAAGGGCGACGACGUACUUUCGGGUACGAGCA